rnacentral:rRNA from 1 species
GGGAACUCAAAGGAGACUGCCGGUGAUAAACCGGAGGAAGGUGGGGAUGACGUCAAGUCAUCAUGGCCCUUACGAGUAGGGCUACACACGUGCUACAAUGGCGUAUACAAAGAGAAGCGACCUCGCGAGAGCAAGCGGACCUCAUAAAGUACGUCGUAGUCCGGAUUGGAGUCUGCAACUCGACUCCAUGAAGUCGGAAUCGCUAGUAAUCGUAGAUCAGAAUGCUACGGUGAAUACGUUCCCGGGCCUUGUACACACCGCCCGUCACACCAUGGGAGUGGGUUGCAAAAGAAGUAGGUAGCUUAACCUUCGGGAGGGCGCUUACCACUUUGUGAUUCAUGACUGGGGUGAAGUCGUAACAAGGUAACCGUAGGGGAACCUGCGGUUGGAUCACCUCCUUACC